AUUGAACGCUGGCGGCAUGCCUUACACAUGCAAGUCGAACGGCAGCGCGGGUGCUUGCACCUGGUGGCGAGUGGCGAACGGGUGAGUAAUACAUCGGAACAUGUCCUGUAGUGGGGGAUAGCCCGGCGAAAGCCGGAUUAAUACCGCAUACGAUCCACGGAUGAAAGCGGGGGACCUUCGGGCCUCGCGCUAUAGGGUUGGCCGAUGGCUGAUUAGCUAGUUGGUGGGGUAAAGGCCUACCAAGGCGACGAUCAGUAGCUGGUCUGAGAGGACGACCAGCCACACUGGGACUGAGACACGGCCCAGACUCCUACGAGAGGCAGCAGUGGGGAAUUUUGGACAAUGGGCGAAAGCCUGAUCCAGCAAUGCCGCGUGUGUGAAGAAGGCCUUCGGGUUGUAAAGCACUUUUGUCCGGAAAGAAAUCCUUGACUCUAAUACAGUCGGGGGAUGACGGUUCCGGAAGAAUAAGCACCGGCUAACUACGUG
rnacentral:rRNA from 1 species